rnacentral:ncRNA from 2 species
CUGACACGCGCGGGAGAGACCUUGCCGAUUCGCCUCAUGGGCAGAUGGGACAAGGCGCCGAAGGAGCAACCGCCCCGGAAUCUCUCAGGCAAAAGGACCGCGCGGCGUCG